GAUGAACGCAGGCGGCGUGCCUAAUACAUGCAAGUCGAGCGAAUGGAUUAAGAGCUUGCUCUUAUGAAGUUAGCGGCGGACGGGUGAGUAACACGUGGGUAACCUGCCCAUAAGACUGGGAUAACUCCGGGAAACCGGGGCUAAUACCGGAUAACAUUUUGAACCGCAUGGUUCGAAAUUGAAAGGCGGCUUCGGCGGUCACUUAUGGAUGGACCCGCGUCGCAUUAGCUAGUUGGUGAGGUAACGGCUCACCAAGGCAACGAUGCGUAGCCGACCUGAGAGGGUGAUCGGCCACACUGGGACUGAGACACGGCCCAGACUCCUACGGGAGGCAGCAGUAGGGAAUCUUCCGCAAUGGACGAAAGUCUGACGGAGCAACGCCGCGUGAGUGAUGAAGGCUUUCGGGUCGUAAAACUCUGUUGUUAGGGAAGAACAAGUGCUAGUUGAAUAAGCUGGCACCUUGACGGUACCUAACCAGAAAGCCACGGCUAACUACGUGCCAGCAGCCGCAGUAA
rnacentral:rRNA from 1 species